GGGGAAUUGUUCGCAAUGGGCGCAAGCCUGACGACGCAACGCCGCGUGGAGGAUGAAGGUCUUCGGAUUGUAAACUCCUGUUGCCCGGGACGAAAAAGCUUCAACCUAAUACGUUGAAGUCUGACGGUACCGGGUGAGGAAGCCCCGGCUAACUCUGUGCCAGCAGCCGCGGUAAUACAGAGGGGGCAAGCGUUGUUCGGAAUUACUGGGCGUAAAGGGCGCGUAGGUGGCCUGCUAAGUCGAACGUGAAAUCCCUGGGCUCAACCCAGGAACUGCGUCCGAUACUGGUUGGCUUGAAUCCGGGAGAGGGAUGUGGAAUUCCAGGUGUAGCGGUGAAAUGCGUAGAUAUCUGGAGGAACACCGGUGGCGAAGGCGACAUCCUGGACCGGUAUUGACGCUGAGGCGCGAAAGCCAGGGGAGCAAACGCGGAUUAGAUACCCCGGUAGUCCUGGCCCUAAACGAUGAAUGCUUGGUGUGGCGGGUAUCGAUCCCUGCCGUGCCGAAGCUAACGCAUUAAGCAUUCCGCCUGGGGAGUACGGUCGCAAGGCUGAAACUCAAAGGAAUUG
rnacentral:rRNA from 1 species